rnacentral:rRNA from 1 species
UACGAAGGGGGCUAGCGUUGCUCGGAAUCACUGGGCGUAAAGGGUGCGUAGGCGGGUCUUUAAGUCAGGGGUGAAAUCCUGGAGCUCAACUCCAGAACUGCCUUUGAUACUGGAGAGCUCGAGUCCGGAAGAGGUGAGUGGAACUCCGAGUGUAGAGGUGAAAUUCGUAGAUAUCAGGAGGAAUACCGAUGGCGAAGGCAGGUCUCUGGGCUGACACUGACGCUCAUGCACGAAAGCGUGGGGAGCAAACAGG